rnacentral:misc_RNA from 1 species
AAGUCGUAACAAGGUUUCCGUAGGUGAACCUGCGGAAGGAUCAUCAACAACAACAAUAAUAAUAAAAAAAUUAAUUAGUGUAUGUGUGUAGUAAAAUAUAUCAUCACUAUUAAUUUUUUUUUACCAAUGUGAAUAGCCCAAAAAAACAAAAGCAAGCACACACAUAAAAUAAAAUAUAUAUUUUAUAUAUUAUUUGUUGUGUGUGUAGAGAAUUUGUUUUAGAGGGUUGUAUUUAUUACUUUCUUCAUCUCUCAUUGAUGAUGGAUGAAAGUAAAUAUAAUAUACUAGAGUAUCUUUUUUAGAGUCUUUUUAUUUUAUUAUAAAUAAUAUAUAUACAACUUUUAACAAUGGAUCUCUUGGCUCUU